UUCCUGCAAGAUUAAUGCUCGGCCCAUUAGAGCAUUGACUCUUUGAUUCUCAAUAAAUUUUCACAGUGUAUGUAGUUCCGUUGGUCUUGUUAGUUCAUGAUUUGCUAUUGUAAAGUAGUGAUAUGAAACCAAAAAGAUUACAGCAAAUAGAAAAAAAAGCAUCUAAAGCAUAAAAUGCUUAUAAGAGAACACAUCAAGUAACUGAGGCGCUGAAGGAACAAGAUCCUGAGUGGGUUCCUUCCCUCUCUCUCUCUCCAUCCAACUGCAAGUUUUGAACAAUGUCUGCUGAUUUUGACAAUUCAAGUGCUGCAGAAAAAGAUUUUAAAAAGAACUCAACCAGCGGUCCUGUCUCUAGAAGGACAGAUAAAUCAUUUGUCUACAUCUUUAAACUGCCUCAAUGCCGAAAGCAGCAGGACCGCCAAAUGAAAGUAGCAGCACAACAGAAUUCAGCCUGAAGCCAGCCAAGUCAUCAACAUUCAAGAGUCAUAUACCCCUUUAAUUUCACUGGAAUCUAAAUUAUUUAAUCCAUCUUUCCCUCUCUGUAACCUCUGUGUGUGUGUGUGUAAUUCAUAGCAUUUUUUCAUUAUUUUACUUUGACUGGGUUAAGUGUAAUAAAAACUAUUCUAUUUUAUUUCUUAAGUCUCAAGAAAAGCUGACUGAUUGUGCCUUUUAUGGCCAUAGCACAUAAACAUUUAAAUAUUCAUGAAAUUGGCAAGUAUAUCUGUUUUAAAUAAAAACUUGUAGCAGUCAAGCAGGAGAGGACAAAGAUAGGAGUCAUUUGACUGCCCUUCAUCUGAUCAUAACAGUGGCCCUUGAGGACCUCCUGGCCCUCCAUCAGACCAUGGGCAUCUCUUCUCCAGCCUGUGUGCACCACUGCUGCCUCCAGCAUUGCAUCCGUCACUCUGCCCUAGUAUUCACUUUGCAAUAACUUACAUGUUACAGCAAUAUUUUUGUGCAUCUGUCCUUUUAGGCACAAUCUGACUUUAAGAAGAAAAAGCUGGCUGUGUCAAAUGUUUACAAACAAUCCUUCAGGUACCCCUGCUGAGUGCAUAGCCCACAGGUUGCUUGGUUGUUCAGACAGCACCCCUUCAGACUUUCACUACAAUCAUACAGAUGAGGUGGGUACUCCAAAUUUGAACACUGUCCCCCUCAGCCUGCAUGCUCAUAAAACAGGGUUAACCAAUUUCUAGCCCAUAGUACCAUUAGCUAUUGAGUCAUUUGGAGCCUUUGAGUUGACUUUUUAGAACAGUUAUAUGACAUUAAUACCACUUCAGCUAUGCAAGGUUUGUAAUAGGAAUUAUUGUGCAGAAUAAUUUUAUUUGCUUAAACACCAUUGAUUCUUUUUGUAACUGCUUGCUGAGAUGGAUAAAGAUUAUACUCUGAGAAGUAAAAAUGUUUGGGUCAGGAAAUGAAGCCUGCAAUAAAGCAUGAUGCAUUUCCAUAUAUAAAGAGAUUUUUAAAAAUA